AUUGAACGCUGGCGGCAUGCCUUACACAUGCAAGUCGAACGGCAGCACGGGUGCUUGCCCCUGGUGGCGAGUGGCGAACGGGUGAGUAAUACAUCGGAACAUGUCCUGUAGUGGGGGAUAGCCCGGCGAAAGCCGGAUUAAUACCGCAUACGAUCUACGGAUGACAGCGGGGGACCUUCGGGCCUCGCGCUUUAGGGUUGGCCGAUGGCUGAUUAGCUCGUUGGUGGGGUAAAGGCCUACCAAGGCGACGAUCAGUAGCUGGUCCGUGAGGGCGACCAGCCACACUGAGACUGAAACACGGCCCAGACUCCUACGGGAGGCAGAGGUGGGGAAUUUUGGAAAAUGGGGGAAAGCCUGAUCCAGCAAUGCCGCGUGUGUGAAGAAGGCCUUCGGGUUGUAAAGCACUUUUGUCCGGAAAGAAAUCUUUGGCCGUAAUACGGUCGGGGGAGGACGGUACCGGUAGAAUAGGCACGGCCUAACAAGGU
rnacentral:rRNA from 1 species